GAUGAACGCUGGCGGCGCGCCUAAUACAUGCAAGUCGAGCGAGAAGACGUAGCAAUACGUUUGUAAAGCGGCGAACGGGUGAGGAAUACAUGGGUAACCUACCCUAGAGUGGGGAAUAACUAGCCGAAAGGUUAGCUAAUACCGCGUACGCUCCUUGGACUUCGGUUCAGGGAGGAAAGCGAUACCGAGGGUAUCGCGCUCUUGGAUGGGCUCAUGUCCUAUCAGCUUGUUGGUGAGGUAACGGCUCACCAAGGCUUCGACGGGUAGCUGGUCUGAGAGGACGAUCAGCCACACUGGCACUGCGACACGGGCCAGACUCCUACGGGAGGCAGCAGUAAGGAAUAUUGCGCAAUGGGCGAAAGCCUGACGCAGCGACGCCGCGUGGGGGAUGAAGGUCUUCGGAUUGUAAACCCCUUUCGGGAGGGAAGAUGGAACGAGCAAUCGUUCGGACGGUACCUCCAGAAGCAGCCACGGCUAACUUCGUGCCCGC
rnacentral:rRNA from 1 species